UGGGGUGUAGCCCAGUGGUAGAGUGUGUUCUUAGAACGAGCAAGGCCCUGGGUUCCAUCCCCAGCACCCAAA
rfam:Ictidomys tridecemlineatus contig059758, whole genome shotgun sequence.